rnacentral:rRNA from 1 species
GGAGGAAGGUGUGGAUGACGUCAAGUCCUCAUGGCCCUUACGGGUUGGGCUACACACGUGCUACAAUGGUAGUGACAAUGGGUUAAUCCCAAAAAGCUAUCUCAGUUCGGAUUGGGGUCUGCAACUCGACCCCAUGAAGUCGGAAUCGCUAGUAAUCGCGUAACAGCAUGACGCGGUGAAUACGUUCCCGGGCCUUGUACACACCGCCCGU